AAUUAUGGCGGCUGUGCGUAGGGCGCCUUCGGGCGCGCCGGGUUUGUGUGGGAUUACCGGUCUACUAACCUGCGCACAGCUGCCACCCAA
rnacentral:antisense_RNA from 10 species